rnacentral:rRNA from 1 species
UGGGGAAUUUUGGACAAUGGGGGAAACCCUGAUCCAGCCAUCCCGCGUGUGCGAUGAAGGCCUUCGGGUUGUAAAGCACUUUUUGGCAGGAAAGAAACGUCGCGGGUUAAUACCCCGCGGAACUGACGGUACCUGCAGAAUAAGCACCGGCUAACUACGUGCCAGCAGCCGCGGUAAUACGUAGGGUGCAAGCGUUAAUCGGAAUUACUGGGCGUAAAGCGUGCGCAGGCGGUUCGGAAAGAAAGAUGUGAAAUCCCAGAGCCUAACUUUUGGGAACUGCAUUUUUGAACUACCGGGCUAGAGUGUGUCAGAGGGAGGUGGAAUUCCGCGUGUAGCAGUGAAAUGCGUAGAUAUGCGGAGGAACACCGAUGGCGAAGGCAGCCUCCUGGGAUAACACUGACGCUCAUGCACGAAAGCGUGGGGAGCAAACAGGAUUAGAUACCCGUGGUAGUCCACGCCCUAAACGAUGUCAACUAGC